rnacentral:rRNA from 1 species
AUACGUAGGGGGCAAGCGUUGUCCGGAUUUAUUGGGCGUAAAGAGCGUGUAGGCGGCCCGACAGGUCCGUUGUGAAAACUCGAGGCUCAACCUCGAGACGUCGAUGGAAACCGUCGGGCUAGAGUCCGGAAGAGGAGAGUGGAAUUCCUGGUGUAGCGGUGAAAUGCGCAGAUAUCAGGAGGAACACCCGUGGCGAAAGCGGCUCUCUGGGACGGUACUGACGCUGAGACGCGAAAGCGUGGGGAGCGAACAGGA